rnacentral:piRNA from 1 species
UGCCACACCUGCCAUCUGCCCGGACC